rnacentral:rRNA from 1 species
AGAGAUUGAACAUAAGAGUUUGAUCCUGGCUCAGAUUGAACGCUGGCGGCAUGCUUUACACAUGCAAGUCGGACGGCAGCACAGGGAAGCUUGCUUCUCGGGUGGCGAGUGGCGAACGGGUGAGUAACAUAUCGGAACGUACCGGGUAGCGGGGGAUAACUGAUCGAAAGAUCAGCUAAUACCGCAUACGUCUUGAGAGGGAAAGCAGGGGACCUUCGGGCCUUGCGCUAUCCGAGCGGCCGAUAUCUGAUUAGCUGGUUGGCGGGGUAAAGGCCCACCAAGGCGACGAUCAGUAGCGGGUCUGAGAGGAUGAUCCGCCACACUGGGACUGAGACACGGCCCAGACUCCUACGGGAGGCAGCAGUGGGGAAUUUUGGACAAUGGGCGCAAGCCUGAUCCAGCCAUGCCGCGUGUCUGAAGAAGGCCUUCGGGUUGUAAAGGACUUUUGUCAGGGAAGAAAAGGCCGUUGCCAAUAUCGGCGGCCGAUGACGGUACCUGAAGAAUAAGCACCGGCUAACUACGUGCCAGCAGCCGCGGUAAUACGUAGGGUGCGAGCGUUAAUCGGAAUUACUGGGCGUAAAGCGGGCGCAGACGGUUACUUAAGCAGGAUGUGAAAUCCCCGGGCUCAACCCGGGAACUGCGUUCUGAACUGGGUGACUCGAGUGUGUCAGAGGGAGGUGGAAUUCCACGUGUAGCAGUGAAAUGCGUAGAGAUGUGGAGGAAUACCGAUGGCGAAGGCAGCCUCCUGGGAUAACACUGACGUUCAUGUCCGAAAGCGUGGGUAGCAAACAGGAUUAGAUACCCUGGUAGUCCACGCCCUAAACGAUGUCAAUUAGCUGUUGGGCAACUUGAUUGCUUGGUAGCGUAGCUAACGCGUGAAAUUGACCGCCUGGGGAGUACGGUCGCAAGAUUAAAACUCAAAGGAAUUGACGGGGACCCGCACAAGCGGUGGAUGAUGUGGAUUAAUUCGAUGCAACGCGAAGAACCUUACCUGGUUUUGACAUGUGCGGAAUCCUCCGGAGACGGAGGAGUGCCUUCGGGAGCCGUAACACAGGUGCUGCAUGGCUGUCGUCAGCUCGUGUCGUGAGAUGUUGGGUUAAGUCCCGCAACGAGCGCAACCCUUGUCAUUAGUUGCCAUCAUUCGGUUGGGCACUCUAAUGAGACUGCCGGUGACAAGCCGGAGGAAGGUGGGGAUGAUGUCAAGUCCUCAUGGCCCUUAUGACCAGGGCUUCACACGUCAUACAAUGGUCGGUACAGAGGGUAGCCAAGCCGCGAGGCGGAGCCAAUCUCACAAAACCGAUCGUAGUCCGGAUUGCACUCUGCAACUCGAGUGCAUGAAGUCGGAAUCGCUAGUAAUCGCAGGUCAGCAUACUGCGGUGAAUACGUUCCCGGGUCUUGUACACACCGCCCGUCACACCAUGGGAGUGGGGGAUACCAGAAGUAGGUAGGGUAACCGCAAGGAGUCCGCUUACCACGGUAUGCUUCAUGACUGGGGUGAAGUCGUAACAAGGUAGCCGUAGGGGAACCUGCGGCUGGAUCACCUCCUUUCUAGAG